GACAGAGGAUGCAAGCGUUGUUCGGAUUCACUGGGCGUAAAGGGUGCGUAGGCGGUCGGGUAAGUCUGAUGUGAAAUCUCACAGCUUAACUGUGAAACUGCAUUGGAUACUAUUCGGCUAGAGAGUUGGAGGGGGGACUGGAAUUCUUGGUGUAGCAGUGAAAUGCGUAGAUAUCAAGAGGAACACCAGUGGCGAAGGCGAGUCCCUGGACAACUUCUGACGCUGAGGCACGAUAGCUAGGGGAGCAAACAGG
rnacentral:rRNA from 1 species